GUGACGAAGCGACGCCGCGUGUGGGAAGAAGGCCUUCGGGUUGUAAACCACUGUCGGGAGUUAAGAAGUGUAAGGGGGUGAAUAGUCCUCUUGCUUGACGUUAGCUCCGGAGGAAGCCACGGCUAACUCUGUGCCAGCAGCCGCGGUAAUACAGAGGUGGCAAGCGUUGUUCGGAAUUAUUGGGCGUAAAGAGCACGUAGGCGGCCCUACAAGUCAGCUGUGAAAUCCUUCUGCUCAACGGAAGAACGGCAGUUGAUACUAUAGGGCUCGAGUGCGGGAGGGGAGAGUGGAACUUCUGGUGGAGCGGUGAAAUGCGUAGAUAUCAGAAGGAACAUCGGCGGCGAAAGCGACUCUCUGGCCCGUAACUGACGCUGAGGUGCGAAAGCUAGGGGAGCAAACGGGAUUAGAUACCCCGGUAGUCCUAGCCGUAAACGAU
rnacentral:rRNA from 1 species